GAUGAACGCUGGCGGCGUGCCUAAUACAUGCAAGUCGAGCGAACAGACGAGGAGCUUGCUCCUCUGACGUUAGCGGCGGACGGGUGAGUAACACGUGGAUAACCUACCUAUAAGACUGGGAUAACUUCGGGAAACCGGAGCUAAUACCGGAUAAUAUAUUGAACCGCAUGGUUCAAUAGUGAAAGACGGUUUUGCUGUCACUUAUAGAUGGAUCCGCGCCGCAUUAGCUAGUUGGUAAGGUAACGGCUUACCAGGGCAACGAUGCGUAGCCGACCUGAGAGGGUGAUCGGCCACACUGGAACUGAGACACGGUCCAGACUCCUACGGGAGGCAGCAGUAGGGAAUCUUCCGCAAUGGGCGAAAGCCUGACGGAGCAACGCCGCGUGAGUGAUGAAGGUCUUCGGAUCGUAAAACUCUGUUAUUAGGGAAGAACAAAUGUGUAAGUAACUAUGCACGUCUUGACGGUACCUAAUCAGAAAGCCACGGCUAACUACGU
rnacentral:rRNA from 1 species